UUAAAGGAUCACACUUUUACCCAAAUGUUUUUCCAUCGAUAUUGACGGUGACCACUCUUAGCGUGAACAUGAUUGUUUUAAACAUUGAAUCCAGCGCCUGCACCAAUUAAUGUCCGGAUUGGAGUUAGAAUCUGACGUACCUCAGUACCUGACGAGGAUGUUGAUGUUAAAUCUUAGGUUUUUGUAUCCAAAUCGGAGGAAAAAGAUAAACAAGCAACCACCUCUUUUCCUGAGAGUUUAGAAAACGAUAGGGUUUUACCAAAAAUAAAUAAUAAUUGAUGGAAUCACAACACACGUUUCAUCUAGUCCUAAUAAUUAUAAAUAUCC
rnacentral:lncRNA from 1 species